AGCCCUGCUGAGACCAUAUCACAUUCUGUCAUGGUCUCAUCCUGUCAGGAGUCACAUUACGAUGCAAAGGACUGAAAAUCUGUUCUGCAAAAGGAUCUGAACCCAAAAAAUGUCAAUUGACUGGCCUCACUACAGAUAUCAAAGGGUCAAGAAGAUGACAGAGACAAAGCUUGUUAAAAAUCCACAAAUUUAAGGAACAAAGGAUGCUGGAACUGCACUUCCAUACCAUGAAAAUAAAUGUCACCUUUAUCC